rnacentral:rRNA from 1 species
CGCGGUGGUCCCACCUGACCCCAUGCCGAACUCAGAAGUGAAACGCCGUAGCGCCGAUGGUAGUGUGGGGUCUCCCCAUGCGAGAGUAGGGAACUGCCAG